rnacentral:tRNA from 1 species
GGGCACAUGGUGUAGUUGGUUAUCACGCUCGCUUAGCAUGUCAUAGACUGAUUUGCGAGAGGUGUUGGGUUCAAUUCCCAAUGCGUCCA